GUGAGACCUCUGCUCUUCUCACCGAGAGAGUCAAAGAAAGACAAAGACCAGAGAGAGAGAGAGAGAGACCCACUAGAAAGUGGAAAACAGAUCCACACUUUCUUUCUCUAAACAUUCUUUUCUUUUACCUUUUCAAGCUUUUUUUUUUUUUUCGUUUCUUUUUUCUUUGGGUGAAAAAUCUCACAAGAAGAAAAAUGCACAAAAGAUAGGGUCUGUGUUUUUUAGUUUCUUUUUUUUUUUUUUUUUUUUUUGCUUUUUAAUUAAGAUUUUUUUUUUUUUGAGUUUGUGUAUAGUGAUUUCUAGCUGAUAUUUCUUGACUGUGGGCAGCUCUAAAUCAUUACUUAGUUUUCCUUUUGUCUUCAAAAAGCUUUCUCUCUUCGAUUAGCGUAUGCACGUCCCUCCUUCGCUCUAAUUACUCCAUUUCUCCUUUUAGGGUUUUUCUUUAUCUGAAUAACGAGGAAAAAAAAUGUGGGUUGGUGUGGGAAUGUGAUGAGGAAUGAGAAAUGGGGUGCGUCUUUGGGAGAGAGGUGACUCCGAGGAAGGCGGCGGCGGCGGCGGAGAGGGAAGGGAGAAGAGAGAGGCAGGAAGUUAGGGUAGUGCAGGAGGAAAGUAGUAGCCAGGUUAGAAAUGGAGGAGAGAAUCGGAAGGAGAAAAAUGAGGUGGAGGUGGAAGAGGAGGAGGGGGAGGGGAGGGUGCGGCAUAGGGGUGAGAGGAGGAGAUCCUCUAGGCCAAAUCCGAGGUUGAGUAAUCCUCCCAAGCACGUGCAAGGUGAACAGGUGGCUGCCGGAUGGCCCUCUUGGCUCUCUGCCGUCGCCGGUGAAGCUAUCAAUGGAUGGACCCCACGACGUGCUGAUACUUUUGAGAAGCUUGACAAGAUUGGGCAGGGUACAUAUAGUAAUGUGUACAAAGCUAAGGAUAACAUGACAGGGAAAAUUGUUGCAUUGAAGAAGGUUCGGUUUGACAAUUUGGAACCCGAAAGUGUAAAAUUUAUGGCUAGGGAAAUUUUGAUUUUGCGUCGUUUGGAUCAUCCCAAUGUUGUAAAAUUGGAAGGUUUGGUGACCUCAAGGAUGUCUUGUAGUUUGUACCUUGUUUUUGAAUACAUGGAGCAUGAUUUAGCUGGACUUGCAGCAAGCCCAAACAUCAAGUUCACCGAGCCUCAGGUCAAAUGUUAUAUGCAUCAGUUGUUAUCUGGUCUUGAACACUGUCACAACCUCCAUGUGCUGCAUCGUGAUAUUAAGGGAUCAAAUCUUCUUAUUGGCAAUGAUGGAAUCCUUAGAAUUGCUGAUUUUGGGUUGGCUUCUUUUUUUGAUCCUAAUCACAAGCAGCCCAUGACUAGCAGGGUAGUUACCUUAUGGUAUCGACCCCCAGAGCUGCUCCUUGGGGCUACUGACUAUGGUGUGGGUGUUGACCUCUGGAGUGCUGGUUGCAUUCUUGCUGAGCUAUUGGCCGGGAAGCCAAUCAUGCCUGGUCGCACUGAGGUGGAGCAAUUGCACAAGAUAUUUAAACUAUGUGGCUCUCCUUCUGAAGAGUAUUGGAAAAAGUCAAAGUUGCCACAUGCAACCAUAUUUAAGCCCCAGCAAUCAUACAAGAGAUGUAUAGCAGAGACUUUUAAAGACUUCCCACCAUCGUCACUGCCCCUAAUUGAGACCCUUCUUGCCAUUGACCCAGCUGAACGUCAAACUGCUACUGCUGCAUUGAAGAGUGAAUUCUUUUCCACCAAGCCUUAUGCUUGUGAGCCUUCUAGUCUUCCAAAAUAUCCUCCAAGCAAGGAGAUGGAUGCUAAACUACGAGAUGAAGAAGCUAGAAGAUUGAGAGCAGCUGGAAGGUCUAAUGCUGAUGGUGUGAAGAAGUUGCGUCCACGUGAUCGAACUGUAAAGGCAUUUCCUGCUCCAGAAGCCAAUGCCGAGCUUCAAGCCAAUCUUGAUAGACGGCGUUUAAUAACACAUGCAAAUGCUAAGAGCAAGAGUGAGAAAUUUCCUCCACCUCACCAAGAUGGAACACUUGGUUAUCCUUUGGGCUCUUCACAUCAGAUUGAUCCUGUUUUUGAUCCCCCUGAUGUCCCAUUCAGUUCCACGAAUUUCUCAUAUUCAAAAGCACCUAUCCAGACAUGGUCUGGCCCAUUGGUGGACCCAGCUUCAGUUGGUGCUCCAAAGAGAAAGAAACAGAAAGAUAAAAUUUCUGCUCGGGUAAAAGAGAAGGAAGGCAUGUAAUAUAUUUUCAGCUUAUUUGUGAGACUAUUCAUAAGGCUGCAAAGUUGCAAAUCCAGCCUUUGAUAUCUGUUCCGGGAAAGCCAAUUAAAUUGCAAGGAGAGGCAUAAAAGGAUGAUCAAGAUUCGAGGACAUUCUGAAUAUGAAUCCAAUUAAUGUGUUACCGUUUUAUAUCAAAAUAUUUCUCUGAGAUUCUUACUCGAAAGGAAAGAUGAGUAUUAAAAAUUUAUUGAGCAAGGUUGAACUAUACUUUUUUUUCCUCGUUGCUGAGGAAAUGGAAUAUGAAGCCAUUAUUUUAUGGCAGCUACCAUUUUAGCUCUAGCACAUGCUCUGCAACGUGAGAAGAUUAAAUACCAAACCAGUACCAGUAGAUACUUUCCUAAAGGCUUACUGCUUUUCACCUUCUAGUUUGAACAAAAAAAUUUUCAAAUAUGUCAAGCUUACAAUCUUUCAUCAGAGUCCUCUUGCGUAAUCAAACAAGCAUCCAACGAGUGUAUCUUUUUUCUUUUACUUUUGCCUUGUAAGAGGGUAGGUUGAAAAAAGAGUAGUAGGAGUGGGUGGGUUUGACUGGCAGGUUUGGCAGUUGCCACUUGAAAGAAUUUGUUCACAUAUAUUGUUAACUGUCAAACUUUUACUUUAGGAAGUUGUUGGCAUAUGUCCUUGAAUAUAUGCUCCCUAUAAAUUUUCAAGUGACUUGAACCCCAAUUCUCAGAACUCGGAACCAUAUAAUCUAUAGACUCCCUUGGCGUCGUCUCCUGCCAAAAUCUGGAACUUGGGUUAUUUUCAGUGGCACCACAGUGGUAGUGUAGACUGCUGAAUGAGGCCACCUGGCCCUGGAGGACCCGGACCCGGACCGGGACCAGGACCUGGACCUGGCUGGGUUCCUCCAGGACCUGGUCUCCCUGGAGGUUUCUUCAAUGGCUUGUUCAGUGCGGUAUCAUCUUGCUUCUACAUCUUAUGCUGUUGCUGGCUGUUUCAAGACUGCUUUGGUGCCCCACCAGCACCUCCAGCUCCAGGUCCGCCUCUGGCUCCGGCUCCACCUCCUCCUCCUGUGCCUCUUGGACCACCUCCACCUCCACCUGGACCUCCUGGACCCCCGGGUGGCCCACCUGGUCCUCCAGGACCACCUCCUCCAUAAUCCCAUGGCUCGAUCUAAUAUCUAACCACAUAAGAGGAGUCUGAAAUGAUUGCUAUCUUGGCUUAAAAGAUUGUUACUAGUUAUUGUUAAAGCCAUUAGAAAAGCUUGUUUGAUGUUUAUGCAAUAAUAUUACAUUGUGGAACAACCAACCAUAUAUAAUUACAAUCUACAAGGUGUUAUUAAGAAUAGUUAAUCAUUUGUUUUCACUAA